GGAUCAAUUUAUUGGUCGUGCUAUUGUACGUACUGGUAUUAUUGAUUCCUACCUUCUGACGAACCAUGAUGUCAUUAAUUUGGUGUCAUGGGGAAUCAGGACUGUUACUUUGAAAAAAUUAGAGUGUUUAAAGCAGGCAUACGCUUGAAUACUUCAGCAUGGGAUAAUGGAACAGGACUG
rnacentral:rRNA from 1 species